rnacentral:lncRNA from 1 species
UACCAGUUUUCAACUGAUGGUUCAGCUGGUUCUAAUUGAACAAAAGAUGGCAAAAGCGAAAUGGAUUUAUAUCGUUUAGAAGAAAGAAUAGAGUCUUUUCCCUCCUUGAACAUGAGGAAUGGCUGUACAGGUUUCCCCCCUUGACCAAACUUUAGUCAGGCUCAUUUGAGUCCUCUUCUCAGCUAGGCCUAAUCCUUGGCCAGCUGAGCCCACUUUUAGCAAGAAUCCUACAAAACUGGUUUAUUGAGAAUCCAUCCACCCUUGAUAUCUUGUCAAAUGUCUCAUCUGCCAUCAUUGAUAUAUAAUCAAUUUCCUCUUCCACUCAUCUUUGGUACUUAACCACUUUCCUGAUGGUAAGUUUCCAUCCUUUUCCUCACCCUACCUGUUAACUAUUAAUCUUUCGUUUUGGGGUUAAGUUUAAUCGUUUUCCUCUAUUGAAAUAAUGGAAUAAAGUCUUCUUUAGAAGCACUUAAAAUAAUCUAAAAAUAAUUUAUAUUCAUCUUCACAUUAAUCAUUUCUGAAUAUUUUAAACUAUAUAAAUCUAGGGUUUUUGGUCUGUUAUUAUAUUCCAUUUGACUGAAGAAAUUCCUUUAUACUUUAGUACACAUCUGAUGGCAGUGAAGCAACUGAAAGAGCUUUUGUUUGUCUGAAAAUGUCAUUAUUUCUCUGCUUUUGAAAGAUAGUUCUGCUAGAUUUAGACUUCCAGGUUGACCUUUUUUCAUCCAGUGUUUCCUUAUUUAUUGAUUUUCAUCAAGAUAUACAAUAAUCUUACUUUUUAAUUGAGGUUCACCAUUUUAAAGUGUACAAUUCAGUAGUUUUAUUAUACUCACAGAAUAGUGAGUAUAUUCACCAUUAUUUUAUUCCAAAACAUUUUUAUUAUCACAAAAAGUAACACUAUACCCAUUACUCAUGAGCAAUAACUCCCCAUUUCUCCUUUCCCAUCCCCUAUAUUUUGUGUCUAUGAAUUUCCCUAUUCAGAGAAUUUCAUAGAAAUGAAAAUAUGUAAUAUGUAACUUUUUCUGACUGGCUCCUUUUGCUUAACAUAAUGAUUUUAAGAUUAAUUCAUGUCAUAACAUGUAUCAAUACUUCAUUCCUUUUUAUGGAUAAAUAUUGUUCCACUUUAUGGAUACACCACAAUUGUUUAUUUGUUAAUCAUUUGAUUGACAUUAGGGUUGUUCACACUUUUUUGUUACCAUGUAUAUUACUGCCAUGAAUAUUUAAGUAUAAGAUUUUGUAUGAAUGUGUGUUUUCAAUUCUUUUAGGUAUAUAUCUGGAACUGAAAUUUUUGAAUUACAUGGUAACUAUUGACUGGGUUGUUUAAACAAUGUAAAUUUAUACCUUACAGUUCAAGAGACUUGGGAAGACCAAGAUCAAGGUGCUAGCAGAUCUGGUGUCUGGUGAAGGCCUGCUUCCUAGCUUAUGGACAGCCACCUUCCUGUUGUAUCUUCAUAUAGUUGAGGAAGACAGAGACAAAGAUCAGAUCUCUUGUAACUUUACUUAUAAGGGCACCAGUCCUGUCAUUAUGGCUCCACCCUCAUGACCUAAUUACCUCCCAAUAUCCACAUCUUCAAUUACUGUCACUUUGGGUAUUAGGAAUUUUUGAAGGACACAGGUUUUCAGUCCAUGGCAUUCCAUCCCUGGAUUUCUGAAAUUCAUGUCCUUCUCACAUGCAAAAUACAUUAUUUCCAUCCCAACAGGUCUGAAGUCUUAAUUCAUUCCAGAAUCAAGUCUGAAGUCAAAAGUCUCAUAAAUAUCAUCUAAACUGGAUAUGAAUUUGACCUGAGGUAUGAUUCUUCCUGAACAAAACUUCUAAGUUUUGACCUGUUUAAAAAAAAACAAACAAACAAGUUAUGUGCUUCUAAAUGAAACAGGAUUAGGAUAGAGAUUUCUAUUCCAAAAGGGAGAAAUAGGAAAGAAUAACAUGAUAUGGGGUCCCAUACGAGUGCAAAACUUAGCAAGACAAAUUCCAUGAGACCUUAAAACUUGAAAAUAAUCAUCUUUGACUUAAUGCUCUGCCCUGUCCACCUGCUAGGAAAGCAAUAUCACCCCCAUAACUCAGCAGAGCUGCUUUCUAUGGCAGCGCCAGCCAUGCCACUUCUCACCCAGGAGGGGCCCCUCCCCUAUGACUUCUGUCAGAGGUCAUUUACCCUUUUGAAACACAGGCAGUGGCCUGGUGAUCUCUGAAUUCUCUUGGGACCAUUCUUCCUGGUUCUUGAGGAAACAGGUUCAUAGCCAAAUAACCUUAUCGUUAAGUCCUGCAGAAUCUAAGAAGUCCAAUAGAUUUACUUUAUUCUGUCCAAUCUUCUUCCCCAUCAUCAUUCAAACUAGCAGUGUUCCUGCUGGGGUGGGUGAUUAGGUAUGUAGUCACACUCACACCAAUCUCCUUGUCAUGCGGUUGCUUUGCCAUACCCUCAAGUGCUGUUGUCAAAACAUGAUUUCUCAUUUUAAGCAAUAUGGAUCAGCUGAAAUUUUUACAGAUACUUAAGUUCUGAUUCAGUUUUGCUUAAUGAUUACUUCUUCAAGUCAUUUCCCUCUUACAUUUUAUUCUAAGCAGUCCGGCAAAACCAAGCCACUCCUUCAACAUUUUGCUUAUAAAUCUCAGGUAAAUAUCAAGUUAUAUUACCUACAAAUUCUACUUCCACAAAACACUAGAACAUGAGCACAAUUUAGCCAAGUUCUUUGUGUCUUUAUAAAACAGAUUGCCUUUUGUCCAUUUUCUAAUAACAUAAUUCCCUUCAUGGUAAUACUAGAUUUUUCUAGCAUUCACUUUAAAUCUUUUCUAGCCUCUACCAAUUACUUAAUUCCAAAGCAGCAUCACAUUUUUAGGUAUUUGUUAGAGCAGACCCUGCUUCUUGUACCAUUUUCUUAUUUCAGGCUGCUGUUAGAAAUUCAACUAACAAUUAAGCUAAGAAGAAAAAAAUAUAUUUGAGCCAAUCCAAGGAUUUUAACCUAGGAAACAGACUCUCUCUUUUAAGCACUGAAAACUAUUUAACUGUUCUCUAACUGGAGUUAGAGAUGAAAUUUUAUAUAUUUUGAGACAGAGAAUUAUGUAUCAUAUUGACAAUUUAGUAUUUGAUUAGGCAUGGAAAUACAGAGUGAGCCUUUAGGUCAAUGCAACCCCUGUAUAUGAUGAGAAAAAAUAUAAUCUUAAGAAGUUCCCAUUGUAGUUCAGCAGGUUAAGAACCUGACUAGUGUCCAUGAUGAUGUAGGUUUGAUCCCCAGCCUCGCUCAGUGAGUUAAGGCUCUGGCAUUGCUAUGAGGCUGUGGGGUAGGUCACAGAUGAGGCUCAUUUCCCAUGUUGCUGUGGCUGUGGUGUAGGCCAGUAGCUGCAGCUCCAAUUCUACCCCUAGCCUUGGAACU